GGUUGGAGAGAUGGCUCAGCGGUUAAGAGCGCUGACUGCUCUUCUGAAGGUCGUGGGUUCAAAUCCCAGCAACCA
rnacentral:tRNA from 1 species